rnacentral:rRNA from 1 species
ACCUGGGAACUGCAUUGGAGACUGCAAGGCUAGAGUGUGUCAGAGGGGGGUAGAAUUCCACGUGUAGCAGUGAAAUGCGUAGAUAUGUGGAGGAAUACCGAUGGCGAAGGCAGCCCCCUGGGAUAACACUGACGCUCAUGCACGAAAGCGUGGGGAGCAAACAGGAUUAGAUACCCUGGUAGUCCACGCCCUAAACGAUGUCAACUAGUUGUCGGGUCUUAAUUGACUUGGUAACGCAGCUAACGCGUGAAGUUGACCGCCUGGGGAGUACGGUCGCAAGAUUAAAACUCAAAGGAAUUGACGGGGACCCGCACAAGCGGUGGAUGAUGUGGAUUAAUUCGAUGCAACGCGAAAAACCUUACCUACCCUUGACAUGGCAGGAAUCCUGAAGAGAUUUGGGAGUGCUCGCAAGAGAACCUG